rnacentral:rRNA from 1 species
AGUGAACGCUGGCGGUAUGCCUAACACAUGCAAGUCGAACGGCAACACAGUAAGAGCUUGCUCUUACGGUUGGCGAGUGGCGGACGGGUGAGGCAUACAUAGCAUUCUACUUUUUCGUGGAGGAUAACGUAGGGCAACUUCUGCUACUACCUCAUACGACCUACGGCUGAAAGCAGGAGAUCUUCGCACCUUGCGCGUUUGAUUGAGCCGGUGUCGGAUUAGCUAGUUGGCUGGGUAAAGGCCCACCAAGGCAACGAUCCGUAGCUGGUCUGAGAGGAUGAUCAGCCACACUGGAACUGAGACACGGUCCAGACUCCUACGGGAGGCAGCAGUGGGGAAUAUUGGACAAUGGGCGCAAGCCUGAUCCAGCCACACCGCGUGGGUGAAGAAGGCCUUCGGGUUGUAAAGCCCUGUUGUUGGGAAAGAAAAGCAGCAGGUUAAACCCCCGCUGUUCUGACGGUACCCAAAGAAUAAGCACCGGCUAACUUCGUG